rnacentral:lncRNA from 1 species
GGGUGAGUCACUAACAGUGGAGUGACUAAAGAAAAUAGUCAGCAAUGGCUGGCUAGGAGGAGGAGCUGCUACAGAGUGGAGAAGGCUGUGGCAUCAGCCAGAUCAGAAUUUGCUGUGUCACUCUUGAAUUGCAUUGCCCAGACACAGAGUUAAGAGUGUCUCAUGAUGAUAACAACAAGGGUGAAGGAGAAUUCCUCCAAGGGCCACAUAAAAUAAUCCAAUCCUGCAGUGCCCGUGCUAUGGGGUCCUGAAGAGAAGCAAAACACCACAAAAACUCACAGCCUGGCCUUGCAGACAGCCUCAGCUUCAGGUCCAGGUGGAGGACAAGGAAGGAAGAAGAAAACCAACAGAGGGAUGGAAGUGGGGUAAAAGGUUCAUGGGGAAACUCGAAGAACAAGCUGAAUGUUGGGAAGGCCUGGAAAUGAGCACAGGGUUCACAAACCAGGCAAGGACAAGAAAAGCUUCUGUCUUAAGGGAAAGACCCAACACCCUCACUUCUCAUGGGACAGGUGAUUGGAGAUGAGAAGAAUUUCAUCAUGUGUGGUAGAGCCUGCCAUGUUCCAUCCAUGACUUGUUCUUCUAAUCUUCCUUACAAUAAAGAUUGGUGAGAGGUAUGGCA